CACACCGUGGCGCAGUGGUUAGCGCUGCCGACCACCAAUUUUUCAACGCGGGUUCAAUUCCGCCAGGGGUCA